rnacentral:sRNA from 1 species
AUUUUCAAAACAUAAGCGUAGAAACCCCCGGCA